GGCGAACGGGUGAGUAAUACAUCGGAACGUACCCAGUAGCGGGAGAUAGCCCGGCGAAAGCCGGAUUAAUACCGCAUUCGCCCUACGGGGGAAAGGGGGGAUCUUCGGACCUCUCACUAUUGGAGCGGCCGAUGGCUGAUUAGCUAGUUGGUGGGGUAAAGAGCCUACCAACGCGACGAUCAGUAGCUGGUCUGAGAGGACGACCACGCCACACUGGGACUGAGACACGGCCCAGACUCCUACGGGAGGCAGCAGUGGGGAAUUUUGGACAAUGGGCGAAAGCCUGAUCCAGCAAUGCCGCGUGUGCGAAGAAGGCCUUCGGGUUGUAAAGCACUUUUGUCAGGGCAAGAAAUCGUUUGGGUUAAUACCCGAGCAGUUGACGGUACCUGAAGAAUAAGCACCGGCUAACUACGUGCCAGCAGCCGCGGUAAUACGUAGGGUGCAAGCGUUAAUCGGAAUUACUGGGAACGUAAAGCGUGCGCAGGUGGUUUGUUAAGACAGUUGUGAAAUCCCCGGGCUUAACCUGGGAACUGCCAAUUGUGA
rnacentral:rRNA from 1 species